rnacentral:rRNA from 1 species
UAUUGGACAAUGGGGGGAACCCUGAUUCAGCGACGCCGCGUGAGUGAAGAAGUAUCUCGGUAUGCACAGCUCUAUCAGCAGUGAAGAAGAAAUGACGGUACCUGAGUACGAAGCCUCGGCUAACUACGCGCCAGCAGCCGCGGUAAUACGUAGGGGGCAAGCGUUAUCCGGGAUUACUGGGUGUAAAGGGAGCGUAGACGGUGAUGUAAGUCUGGAGUGAAAGGCGGGGGCCCAACCCCCGGACUGCUCUGGAAACUAUGUGACUGGAGUGCAGGAGAGGUGAGCGGAAUUCCUAGUGUAGCGGUGAAAUGCGUAGAUAUUAGGAGGAACACCAGUGGCGAAGGCGGCUCACUGGACUGUAACUGACGUUGAGGCUCGAAAGCGUGGGGAGCAAACAGG